GUAUUCCUAACGCUAUAGUGCUUCUUUAGGGUGAAAAAGCCAAAUUUGACAAUUCUCUGUGGUUUAAAUUCUGCUAUUCUGGUGUAAAAUUACUAAACUCUGACAUGUCCGGAAUGUCUAAACAGCUUGGUAGGUGUUCUGUAUGUGAUACAUUACAUUUCACUUGUUUCUACCUGUAUGUUCAACUUACUAUUCUCUGCUAGCUUAUACAGCGCCACAACUUGUGCUGAUGCUUUGAGAAAUCGAAUCACAUUAAUGCAGGUCAGUACUUAAAAGGGAACCGUCACUUCUCUGCAAUUUGAUUUACUGGGAGCUAAGAUGGAGGUGCCCAGUUACAGGGUAAAGAGGUGUGGAUUUCUACAUUUAAUUUUGCUUUUCACACCUCACAGAUAUAUAUUUGUUAAAUAUAGAGAUAAGUAAACAUAUCAAUAAAUUCAGCCAUUUCCUUUAAGGAGCACUGUCCCUUCAAGAAUUUUUGUGUUCUUUGUCUGAAAUUAGAUAUUAUUAUUUUUUUUCCAUCUAAUCUUUCUUUCAAAUUCCAAAUCUUGCAAUUUAGCUGCACAGUUGAUGCUUAGUAAUGCUGUUAGCAGUGACAGACUCUGUUUCCUAGUCAUUCCAAUGUUUGGACACUAGUGGGCAACAUAGGCUCAGUGAACACAGUUCUGUAUCUGUCGGUAUAAUCACCAGACUGCAAGACCAAAUUAUAUUCAUAUGCCAGGACGGACCUCAACUGCUCUUAUUGGUAUGAAUAAAAUUAUAUUUCAUAAUAUGACAAAAGUCUGAAUUUAGUGCAAAGUGUAGACAUAUGGGGAUUUAUCAAUCGUAAAAUUACCCCCGAAUUUGUCUGCUUUUUAGCAAGAUCUACCUGGUAGCAAAAACGUUCCAUUCAAUAGAGUUUAGCUAAUGCUAAAUGAGUAGGGCAUUCAAUUCUAUAGAGCCUAGCUGACACUAAAUGAGUAGUACAUUCCAUUCUAUAGAGGCCAGCUGACACUAAAUGAGUAGGGCAUUCCAUUCUAUAGAGCCUGGCUGACACUAAAUGAGUAGGGCAUUCCAUUCUAUAGAGCCCGGCUGACACUAAAUGAGUAGUACAUUCCAUUCUAUAGAGCCCGGCUGACACUAAAUGAGUGAUUCCAUUCUAUAGAUGAGUGAGGGCAUUCCAUUCUAUAGAGCCCGGCUGACACUAAAUGAGUAGGGCAUUCCAUUCUAUAGAGCCCGGCUGACACUAAAUGAGUAGGACAUUCCAUUCUAUAGAGCCCGGCUGACACUAAAUGAGUAGGACAUUCCAUUCUAUAGAGCUUGACUAAUGCCAAAUGAGUAGGACAUUCCAUUCUAUAGAGCCCGGCUGACACU